rnacentral:rRNA from 1 species
AAAGCUUUGGGCUCAACCCGAAAAUCGCAAAAGAAACUAUAUAUCUUGAGUAUAGGAGAGGUAAAAGGAGUUUCCAGUGGAGAGGUGAAAUUCGUAGAUAUUGGAAAGAACACCAACAGCGAAGGCAUUUUACUGGACUAUCACUGACACUCAGAGACGAAAGCUAGGGGAGCAAACUGGAUUAGAUACCCAGGUAGUCCUAGCCGUAAACGAUGAAUACUAGAUGUUGCGUACUCUUUGAGUAUGCGGUGUCGUAGCUAACNCGUUAAGUAUUCCSCCUGGGGAGUAUNCUUGCAAAAGUGAAACUCAAAAGAAUUGACNGGNNCCGCACAAGCGUUGGAGUAUGUGGUUUAAUUCGAUGCAACACGAAGAACCUUACCA